GAUGAACGCUGGCGGCGUGCCUAAUACAUGCAAGUCGAGCGAACGGACGAGAAGCUUGCUUUUCUGAUGUUAGCGGCGGACGGGUGAGUAACACGUGGAUAACCUACCUAUAAGACUGGGAUAACUUCGGGAAACCGGAGCUAAUACCGGAUAAUAUUUUGAACCGCAUGGUUCAAAAGUGAAAGACGGUCUUGCUGUCACUUAUAGAUGGAUCCGCGCUGCAUUAGCUAGUUGGUAAGGUAACGGCUUACCAAGGCAACGAUGCAUAGCCGACCUGAGAGGGUGAUCGGCCACACUGGAACUGAGACACGGUCCAGACUCCUACGGGAGGCAGCAGUAGGGAAUCUUCCGCAAUGGUCGAAAGCCUGACGGAGCAACGCCGCGUGAGUGAUGAAGGUCUUCGGAUCGUAAAAUUCUGUUAUUAGGGAAGAACAUAUGUGUAAGUAACUGUGCACAUCUUGACGGUACCUAAUCAGAAAGCCACGGCUAACUACGUG
rnacentral:rRNA from 1 species